UACGUAGGGGGGCGAGCGUUGUCCGGAUUUAUUGGGCGUAAAGAGCUCGUAGGCGGUUUGGUAAGUCGGGUGUGAAAUCUCCACGCUCAACGUGGAGGGGCCACUCGAUACUGCCAUGACUCGAGUCCGGUAGAGGAGUGUGGAAUUCCCGGUGUAGCGGUGAAAUGCGCAGAUAUUGGGAAGAACACCGAUGGCGAAGGCAGCCAUCUGGACCGACACUGACGCUGAGGCGCGAAAGCGUGGGGAGCGAACAGG
rnacentral:rRNA from 1 species